rnacentral:rRNA from 1 species
UACGGAGGGUGCAAGCGUUAUCCGGAUUCACUGGGUUUAAAGGGUGCGUAGGUGGGCAGGUAAGUCCGUGGUGAAAUCUCUGAGCUUAACUCAGAAGCUGCCGUGGAUACUAUUUGUCUUGAAUGUUGUGGAGGUGAGCGGAAUAUGUCAUGUAGCGGUGAAAUGCUUAGAUAUGACAUAGAACACCAAUUGCGAAGGCAGCUCACUACACAAUUAUUGACGCUGAGGCACGAAAGCGUGGGGAUCAAACAGG